CAGUCGCCACGGUAAUACGUAGGUGGCAAGCGUUGUCCGGAAUUAUUGGGCGUAAAGGGCUCGCAGGCGGUUUCUUAAGUCUGAUGUGAAAGCCCCCGGCUCAACCGGGGAGGGUCAUUGGAAACUGGGAAACUUGAGUGCAGAAGAGGAGAGUGGAAUUCCACGUGUAGCGGUGAAAUGCGUAGAGAUGUGGAGGAACACCAGUGGCGAAGGCGGCUCUCUGGUCUGUAACUGACGCUGAGGAGCGAAAGCGUGGGGAGCGAACAGGAUUAGAUACCCCUGUAGUCCCUGUCUCUUAUAC
rnacentral:rRNA from 1 species